AGCCCCGCGUCCUCGGGAGGACGCCAUUGGAGGACACCGACCGUCCAUCAACCCCCUCGCCCGGAGGGCCCGCCCCCCCGGUCCCACCCAGGCUGCUUCUCCCAGCGUUGGAGGCCGGGGUCUCCGGAGGUGUUGGGCUCCCGCCGCCCGGCCCUCCGCCCGCCUGGGUGUCCGUGUGUGUCCCGCCUGCCGACCGCCUGCCGCCGUCUCCUCUGUCUCUCGGAGGUCCAGUCCCGCAGAUCUCUUCACAGUCUCUCCUGGCCGCGGGUCCUUGCCGGGUCUGUGCUCGCCUCGGGGUCAGCCCUUCUGGGUUUUUCUGGGCCUCACCUACAGGAAAAAGCACUCCAUUUACAAAGGGAAAAAAAAGAGGGGACGAUGGGAUGAUUCAGCCGGCCGCUUGGAACACGUCUCCCGCCUUGCCCUUUGCAAGGCCUGUCCUUCGCCUCGACUGGGUAAUUUAUGUGUUGCAAUUUGAGAAAUCAGCUAGGUUAAAAAAGAAGUCUCCAUCUUGCCCGAAUCUCCUCUUAGGAGGCCUUCUUUAGGCUUAAGAAAGGCUGGAAACCGGGAACUCUUUCCUGCUACUUGGAACACAAAUGAAUGUGCUUUUAGUUUAUUUUGCUUUUGCAGACAAAAUGUCCCCUGAUUUGUCAAUAAAAAUUGGAAUGGGGAAGUUCCUGAGCCUGAAGUGCCUUGGUUGACUGCUCAACUUGGUUCCCUUGGCCCAGAACAGUGUCUGCUGCUCACCGGUUGCCCAAUAAAUGCUGAAAAGUGUUUGGAAGGGUCCUUAUGAGAAUACCCUACAAAGGGCACACCAGAAGGAGGGACAGGAGCAUGACAAGAUGAGAGUGAAUGAAGAAAAGGAAGAAUCUAGGUGGGCGGCCAGCAGAGUGAAGGAAGGAACAAAAUGUGGACCAUUAGCACAAGAGGAGGGGAAGAGUAUGGAUCUUUCUCUGGGAAAGUUAGAGUUUGGGAUUUAUCCAAGAGGAAAAAGAUUUUCCAGCUGAAGAGAACACUUUGAGUAAAAACACCGAAAUGGGAAUUCACAAGGCUGGCUGGCGUCUUGAGCACUAGGAUAAAAAGUAUAGAAAGAAACCGACAAUUUUACUAUUAUUGGAAAGCGCAACGUCCAGAACUCAGUAAAGAAGAGAGUCUGGAAUCUUCCUGCCACAGAGACCCUGCAAUUUAUUAGCCACGAAUAUAAACAGAAUUAUGUCUUUUGAAAUGAAAGCAUCCAGGGGUUUUUUUUUUCCCCUUGCUCCCUUUCUGGAGAAAGCAAAGACACAGUAUGAAAUUCAAGCCGGAAGACAGAGGUAAAGGAGGAAUGACUCUGACUCUUGAGCCUAAUAGCUAUGAAGAAAU